AUGGAGGCGAGGCAGGCGAGCGGGCGCGCCGCGAUGGUGGCGAGGCAGCAGAUCGGCAAGAGGGCGCGCACCGCCGGCACGGUCGACGCCGAACUGCGGCUCGUCCCGCCGGGCUGCGGCGGCGGUGCGUCGUCGGCGGUGUCAGCCAUUUUGCAAGGAGAGCAAGUACGUGAAAGUCAGCGUGGAAGGAGCCCAGCACCAGCGGAUCGUCGAUCUAAGGGCGUACGGAGGGCACGCGGAGCUCUGGGCUGCGCUCCUGGGCUUGGCUGGCCAGAUGCUGGGCCUGGUCGUGACCUACGAGGACAAGGACGGCGACAUCUUGCUCGCCGGCGACCUCCCGUGGGACAUGUUCGUCGAUUUGAUUGA
rnacentral:rRNA from 1 species